ACUCAAAUGAAUUGACGGGGGCCCGCACAAGCGGUGGAGCAUGUGGUUUAAUUCGACGCAACGCGAAGAACCUUACCAGCUCUUGACAUGGGUAGUAUGGACCUGGGCGACUGGGUCCUUCAGUUCGGCUGGCUACCACACAGGUGCUGCAUGGCUGUCGUCAGCUCGUGUCGUGAGAUGUUGGGUUAAGUCCCGCAACGAGCGCAACCCUCAUCUUCAGUUGCCAUCAGGUUAAGCUGGGCACUCUGGGGAAACUGCCGGUGACAAGCCGGAGGAAGGCGGGGAUGACGUCAAGUCCUCAUGGCCUUUAUGGGCUGGGCUACACACGUGCUACAAUGGCGGUGACAGUGGGUUCUGCGCGAAGGGGCGACCCGGAGCCAAUCCCCAAAAGCCGUCUCAGUUCGGAUUGCACUCUGCAACUCGAGUGCAUGAAGCUGGAAUCGCUAGUAAUCGCGGAUCAGCACGCCGCGGUGAAUACGUUCCCGGGCCUUGUACACACCGCCCGU
rnacentral:rRNA from 1 species